rnacentral:rRNA from 1 species
AGCCAGACUCCUACGGGAGGCAGCAGUGGGGAAUAUUGCACAAUGGGGGGAACCCUGAUGCAGCGACGCCGCGUGAGUGAAGAAGUAUUUCGGUAUGUAAAGCUCUAUCAGCAGGGACGAAGAUGACGGUACCUGCAGAAGAAGCCCCGGCUAACUACGUGCCAGCAGCCGCGGUAAUACGUAGGGGGCAAGCGUUAUCCGGAUUUACUGGGUGUAAAGGGGGCGCAGACGGCAAUGCAAGCCAGGAGUGAAAGCCCGGGGCCCAACCCCGGGACUGCUCUUGGAACUGCAUGGCUGGAGUACAGGAGGGGCAGGCGGAAUUCCUAGUGUAGCGGUGAAAUGCGUAGAUAUUAGGAGGAACACCGGUGGCGAAGGCGGCCUGCUGGACUGUGACUGACGUUGAGGCCCGAAAGCGUGGGGAGCAAACAGGAUUAGAUACCCCAGUA